GUCUCUGUAUCACAAUGGUUAGCGCAUUGGACUUUUAAUCCAAGGAUCAUGGGUUCAAAUCCCACCUGGGAUC